GGCCUAUGCCACGUCUCCGGUAGCUACGAGCUUUGACCGGAGAUGCUUUGAAUAGGCCAAAACAGAGUUGGAUUCUGACAUUUCACAUUUUGAUAGGAACCUGGGACUGCUUCUCUAUCGGUCUACAGAGCCGGUUUGUGUGAUUACAUUU
rfam:Leersia perrieri chromosome 3, whole genome shotgun sequence.